CAGUCGCCGCGGUAAUACGAAGGGUGCAAGCGUUACUCGGGAUUACUGGGCGUAAAGCGUGCGUAGGUGGUGGUUUAAGUCUGCUGUGAAAGCCCUGGGCUCAACCUGGGAAUUGCAGUGGAUACUGGGUCACUAGAGUGCGGUAGAGGGUAGUGGAAUUUCCGGUGUAGCAGUGAAAUGCGUAGAGAUCGGAAGGAACAUCUGUGGCGAAGGCGACUACCUGGGCCAGCACUGACACUGAGGCACGAAAGCGUGGGGAGCAAACAGGAUUAGAUACCCCUGUAGUCCCUGUCUCUUAUAC
rnacentral:rRNA from 1 species